rnacentral:rRNA from 1 species
AGUACGAUCGCAAGAUUAAAACUCAAAGGAAUUGACGGGGCCCCGCACAAGCAGCGGAGCAUGCGGCUUAAUUCGACGCAACGCGAAGACCUUUACCAAGGCUUGACAUAUACAGGAAUAUGGCAGAGAUGUCAUAGCCGCAAGGUCUGUAUACAGGUGGUGCAUGGUUGUCGUCAGCUCGUGUCGUGAGAUGUUGGGUUAAGUCCCGCAACGAGCGCAACCCUCGUUCUGUGUUGCCAGCAUUUAGUUGGGGACUCACAGGAGACUGCCGGGGUUAACUCGGAGGAAGGUGGGGAUGACGUCAAAUCAUCAUGCCCCUUAUGUCUUGGGCUGCACGCAUGCUACAAUGGCUGGUACAAACGGCUGCAAUACCGCAAGGUGGAGCGAAUCCGAGAAAGCCAGUCUCAGUUCGGAUUGGGGUCUGCAACUCGACCCCAUGAAGCCGGAGUUGCUAGUAAUCGUAGAUCAGCAACGCUACGGUGAAUACGUUCCCGGGGCUUGUACACACCGCCCGUCACGUCACGAAAGUCGGUAACACCCGAAGUCAGUGGCCCAACCGCAAGGAGGGAGCUGCCGAAGGUGGGAUCGGUGAUUGGGACG